UACGUAGGGGGCUAGCGUUGUCCGGAAUCAUUGGGCGUAAAGCGCGUGUAGGCGGUUCGGUAAGUCCGCUGUGAAAGUCGGGGGCUCAACCCACGGAAGCCGGUGGAUACUGUCGAGCUAGAGUACGGAAGAGGCGAGUGGAAUUCCCGGUGUAGCGGUGAAAUGCUCAGAUAUCGGGAGGAACACCAAUGGCGAAGGCAGCUUGCUGGGACGGUACUGACGCUGAGGCGCGAAAGCGUGGGGAGCAAACAGG
rnacentral:rRNA from 1 species